rnacentral:rRNA from 1 species
UACGUAGGGUGCGAGCGUUGUCCGGAAUUACUGGGCGUAAAGAGCUUGUAGGCGGUUUGUCGCGUCGGGAGUGAAAACACCGGGCUUAACUCGGUGCUUGCUUUCGAUACGGGCAGACUAGAGGUAUGCAGGGGAGAACGGAAUUCCUGGUGUAGCGGUGGAAUGCGCAGAUAUCAGGAGGAACACCGGUGGCGAAGGCGGGUCUCUGGGCAGUAACUGACGCUGAGGAGCGAAAGCGUGGGGAGCGAACAGG